UUGGAUUUUCAUCCAACGGCCCACACCCCUUGAUGAGGAGGAUCCUCAUCCUUAGCUCAGGAGAGGAUCCUGGUCCUUAUUAUACAUACAUGCAUGCCAAGAGUGCACCACUGGCUGGCCGGCGUCGACUGUGGAGGCCACACAUAUACUCGGUUUCUAUUGUUUUGACACGAAACAACUGCGAGUAACGCUACAUGUAUCGUAUUUCUGUUACUUUAUAAAAAAAUAUAUUACUUGACAAAUGACAAUUAACCCGUCUAUUACCAACAUGGAAAUUAUAAAUAAGAACGGGUGUUUAUGAGAUAAGAAAAUAGGUGUUCGAAAAUAAUUUUUCAAGAAAUAACUUAUACAUGGACACAAAAUAAAAACAAAAGGAUUUUUCUUUCUUUUGUUUAAAAGUCUGAAGGGAGAUAGUACAUCGUGUUGUUACCAAGGGCCAACCCGAUCCUCUUGCCCAAGGAUCCUAGAUGGAACCCUAGGAGAGCCACCUACUCUGACUAAUGACCAUGUACUAUUCAUACUAAAUAUGGUCAAUUGCACACUCUAUCUUCUCUACGUUCUUGACAACCAGUCUUUGUCUUAGUAAAGUCUUCCAGUUGCAUGCUAUGGCCUAAAAAGACUAGUAUCAUAUAAUGUGACCAAUUGUUACGACCAUAAAAUACGGUCACUCUCAUUACACAAAAUCCCUUAUUUUUGUGUUUCUAAUAUGUUGGCAUGUGACUGAUUUUUGCAAGAAAUUUCACAUAUAUGGAGCAUGGAAGACACAUUAAUGUUUUAACUAAUAAGAUGAUGAAACCAAAAGGUACAAUGUUAGUGAUGUCACAGAAGAAGUGAGGAGUAGAAAGAGUAUCACCAUUGCCAAGAAAUUUGGCCAUUAAAGUUGCCUGAGUAGUAGAAUCUCUUCUCUGGAUAUGCUUUUGAUUGAUGCAGCUGCAUGAGGUUUAAAUGCAGAGGUUUCAUGCCUGCAGGGUAGCAAAUACUCACAAAUUAAGUAAAAAUCUCAUUUGCUAUUUUCAAAAAUCAAAACAAACAAAUAAACUUAUUUUAAAAGAAAACACAAUUUUAGAGUUAAUUAAGUUAACUAGAACAAUGCAAGUG
rnacentral:lncRNA from 1 species